rnacentral:rRNA from 1 species
UACGGGGGGGGCAAGCGUUGUUCGGAAUUCCUGGGCGUAAAGGGCUCGUAGGCGGCCAACUAAGUCAGACGUGAAAUCCCUCGGCUUAACCGGGGAACUGCAUCUGAUACUGGAUGGCUUGAGUUCGGGAGAGGGAUGCGGAAUUCCAGGUGUAGCGGUGAAAUGCGUAGAUAUCGGGAGGAAUACCUAUGGCGAAAGCAGGCUACUGGACCAUCACUGACGCUGAUCUGCGAAAGCUAGGGGAGCAAACAGG